ACCCUUUCUUUUAACACUUUGAUUCUUCCCCAGCCUUUUUCCUUUGCUAAGACGUCAGUCUCUUUCUUCAAAUCCUCUAAUUGGAUCCUCGCAUCCAUCUCAUGAGCCUCCCUCUCAGCGACCAACUUUUCAGAGUCUACAACUUUCUUCUCCUUACUAUUGGCUUUACUCCAUCUCAGCGAAACUUCUUUUCAAGGAAGCGUAGAACUUCUUCCAAUGUUUAGAUUCCUUUUGUAACGUGGUUCUUGGCUGCAACAUCCUCUACAAAGACUUGCCUUAAACCAUGAAGAAUGAGUUCUAAUUCCCCUGCUUGUACAUCAAUUGUCCCCAUAAGUUCUGCCAUUAUAAGUCGGACAAGUUCACCGCUUCUGCCAGAAGCUUAACCAACAGCUCAUGGUAAGCUCCUAUCCCAGUUGGCAGCCACACCUGCAGGAGUGUAGAGGAACUCCCCCAAAGGGAUUUUAUCUCUCUAACUGUGAAAAUGUUGGGGACAAGAUUUCCCACCAACUUGAAUAACUCCAUGAACGACCUUUGAAG
rnacentral:lncRNA from 1 species